rnacentral:tmRNA from 1 species
GGGGCUGACUUGAAUUUCGACAAGAAUGAGAUGGCUCUAGCUGCAUGCCGACUUGUGUUAUGUCGCAAAACUAGCACAUAAAUAUAAACGCAAACAACGCAAAUUACGCUCCCGCUUACGCUAAAGUUGCGUAAGUUUAAUUUACUUUGGAGCUGUUUUUGAAUAAGGAUUCUAGCGACUUUUCAAAGACAUCAUCUAAGCUAGAUGCGCUUUACAUUACCAAAUGUUAAGUUAAGUUUUUGGUUGCCUUGAAACAUUAUUUUUGGAAGUUGGUGUUUGCAAGAAAGAUUCAAAAUCCAAGCAAGCAUGUGUAUCGGCUAUUGUUGGUUUUGUUUUUGGACUGGGGUUUGAUUCCCCACAGCUCCACCA